AUUCUGAUAGCGUUAAACUAAGCACUAAAUUUAGAAUUUAGAGAUACUAUACAAAAGGUUCAGGAGG
rnacentral:tRNA from 1 species